GCUCUGGCGGUCCAGUGGUUAGGACACGGCACUUUCACUGCCGAGGGCUCAGGUUCAAUUCCUGGUCAGGGAA